rnacentral:sRNA from 1 species
GUAACCUCCACCAUGUCAAGGCGUCUAUAGGCACUCUGGGGGACCAAGGUUAGGGCAGAUCCACGGACCUCACGCACUGCCAAAGGAGAGUCCAGAAAACCCUGAGUCUCCCCGGCAAGCCUGUUGCAAUGGACAGCAGACUCCUUCUAGACUGAGAAUAAUCUCUCAGACUUGCUCAGAGGGUUGGGUUCCAGUAAACGGCAAGGUCCCAGCAGCCCAUCAGAGGAAAUGUGCUGUGUCUUCCUGGAAUACGAAGAGCAUUUCUAGUAAGUCCAUCCUUAAAUGUCCCUCCGUGACUAAGGCCAACACAGGCUGCAAUAUAGCCUUCAGUCCUAAACCAAGUCUUCUGUAGGAGCCAGGAACCCUGGAGGGAAUGAUAUAUAUCUAAGGGUGUCUCACAGCCUGCAUGUUCACACCCUAGCCUGUCAACAGCCAUGGCCUAAGUGCUGCUGUUAAAAUACCGUGUGGUGGCUGCCACAGCAGAGGGAUGUGAGGGGUCCCAGAAGAAACUGCGGGAGUUCACUGUGAACAUGAUACAAUCAGCACCCUAAAAAGGUGGACGAUUCCCUGUCAAUGUGGAUGUAGAGAGAAAUCAAACAUUCUGACUGUGAUGGGAGCUGUGGCAGGCUUCGCUCUACCUGGAACACAAUUGUCAUUUGUGAGGUAUUCUUCUCACAUACUUAAUGUCUCUAUCAUCCCCAAGUCUUGGCAAUUGAAGCAGGUAUUUCUCCCCAUUUUACAGAUGCAGAAGUUCAAGAAUAUUAAAUGGCUUAGUUGAGGCCACUGAGCAGAAAGGAAAGCAAAGAUACAGACGCUGCUGCUGGGGCUCCUGGUUCUGACCCUUCCACAUCCCAGCAUCUCAGCCAUGGCUGGCACUCCCUCUCUUUGUGGUCCUCCUGCUGUCCUAUGUGCUGGCCAUGUUGGGGAACGUGGCCAUCAUCCUGGCAUCCCAGCUGGAUCCCCAACUUCACAGCCCCAUGUACGUCUUCCUCAGUCACCUGUCCUUCCUAGACCUCUGCUACACUUCUAUGACGGUCCCUCAGAUGCUGGUCAACAUGGGCAGUUCCCAGAAGACCAUCAGCUAUGGAGGCUGCACUGUGCAGUAUGCAGUCUUCCACUGGCUGGGUUGCACGGAGUGCAUCGUCCUGGCCGCCACGGCCCUGGACCACUACGUGGCCAUCUGCAAGCCCCCGCACUACACCGUUCUCAUGCACCAUGCUCUCUGUCAGCAGCUUGUGGCUCUGGCCUGGCUCAGUGACUUCGGCAACUCCUUCGUGCAGGUGGUCCUGACAGUGCAAUUGCCAUUCUGCGGGCAGCAGGUGCUGAACAACUUUUUCUGUGAGGUGCCAGCCAUGAUCAAGCUGUCGUGUGCUGACACCGCUGUGAAUGACGCCACGCUGGCUGUGCUGGUGGCCUUCUUCAUGUUGGUGCCCCUGGCUCUCAUCCUUCUCUCCUAUGGCUUUAUUGCCCGAGCAGUGCUCAGGAUCCAGUCCUCCAAGGGACGACACAAAGCCUUUGGGACGUGUUCCUCCCACCUGAUGAUUGUCUCCCUCUGCCUCUUCUACCUGCCUGCCAUUUACAUGUACCUGCAGCCCCCUUCCAGCUACUCCCAAGAGCAGGGCAAAUUUAUUUCUCUCUUCUAUUCCAUAAUCACCCCCACUCUCAAUCCCUUCAUCUACACCCUGAGAAAUAAAGAUAUGAAGGGGGCUCUGAGGAGACUCCUGGCCAGGAUCUGGAGGCUCUGUGGUCGAUGAGGACAUGAGAUGUAGCAUCUCCAUCAAUCAAAGAACACUGCACAAGUCUAUUGUGCACUCAGAGCAUCUUUCACUUAAGGAGUUAAUACCCAGAGAGCUCAAAAACCCUGUCUUCAAACAUCUCACUUCCUGUCAUGAUGCCCCAAAUCCCAUAGCAACAAAGUUCAUUUUAAAAGUGUAAUUCUAAGAGGCCAUAUGUUUUUAAGCAUUGUUUAAAUAGACUUCAAUAAGUAUGUGCGGAAUUACUUAACUUCCAAUUUCCUGAUUCUUUUCUCUUUUCCUCUUCCUAUAUUUCUUUUAUUCUCUCCCCAUUUGUCUCUUUUCUAUUACUCCUAAGUAUACACAAGAUGAAGCUGAAAUACAAUCUUAUUUUACUUAUAAUGAAUAUGUUUUUCUCCAUAUACUUAAAUCUCCACAAAUUUUACAUGACUUUUUCAAUUCCAGGAAUGAAGUAGAUUGCUAUCUCUUUCCUGUGAUUUUGAUUUUUUUUUUUUUGUCUGUAGUUCACAUUUUCUUCUACAGAAAGUUUUUCCAUGAAAUGUAAACUAGUACAAACACUAGUACAACCACUAUGGAAAACAGUGUGGAGAUUCCUUAAAGAACUAAAAGUAGAUCUACCAUUUGAUCCAGCAAUCCCACUACGGAUCAUCUACCCAGAGGAAAAUAAGUCAUUAUACGAAAAAGAUACUUGCUCAUGCGUGUUUAUAGCCGCACAAUUUGCAAUUGGAAAAAUAUGGAACCAGCCAGGCACAGUGGCUCAUGCCUGUAAUCCAAGCACUUUGGGAGGCCAAGGCGGGUGAAUCACGAGGUCAGGAGUUCAAGACUAGCCUGGCCAAGAUGGUGAAACCCCGUCUCUACUAAAAAUACAAAAAUUAGCUGGGCAUGGUGGCACAUGCCUGUAAUCCCAGCUACUCAGGAGGCUGAGGCAGAGAAUUGCUUGAACCUGGGAGGCGGAGGUUGCAGUGAGCUGAGAUGGCACCACUGCACUCCAGACUGGGCAACAGAGCAAGACUCCAUCUCAAAAAAAAAGAAAAAGAAAAUGUGAGAUAUAUACCAUGGAAAAAUACUAUUCAGCCAUAAAAAGGAAUGAAAUAAUGGCAUUCUCAGCAACCUGGCCAGUUUUAACGUCCUAAUGCCCAAAGGUUCUCUUUCUCUCUUUCAAGCCCAGCUAUGUGUUUCUGAUUACAUUAUUUAUACAGGGUAUCAAAGUGUUUGUAGCAGGAAGGCAGUUGGUGAUAGUUCACCAAGAUGCAGAAACCCAAUCUCCAGUUGGUGCUUCUCAGAAGUGCUAACAAGACAGAGUUUGCAACAGAAUGUAAAUCUCAUACUGUUUCCCUUAUACAAAUAGUCUUAAGGGUUUUUUAAGUGUCAGCUCAUCUAAAAGGCAUGUUUAAUAAUGUGAUUGUUUUACAUUCUUAUGCAAGCUCCUUAUAUCGACAGUUCAUAGACUACACUUUGAGUAGCAAAGUGUGGCUACUUUGAUGGCUAAUUGUAUAGAAGAAAUAGUAUUUCUAUCCUGAGCAAUUCCAUGCGGUUUAAGAGUUGUCCAUGUGUAGAGAAGCAAUUAGUAAAUAUUUCCUUAUAACUUAAUGCUCUGUGAAAUAUAAUAGAUGAACUGUUCCUCGGAUGGGAUAAAUCCAAAAUAAGCUGUUAUCAACUGAAAGCAAGAUGCAUCUUCUACAUAAUACUUCUAGUUAGGAGUGCAGGAUCUGAUACUCUCAAACCUUUCCCUCCACGAUUUUCAAUCUCCUAUCCUAUCAAAGAUGAAAUUCCACUCAUUACAGUUAGAGUGAGGUAAUUUUUUUAAAAUUAUCUACAAUGAAAUCAUUUGCCAAAGUGACUUUUAAAAUGCACCAAACAAUUUAAUUUAUCUUUACUGGUUUAGAGAAAUAAUUUGAAAAAUUUC